UAGGGUCACCAAAAGUCCUGUUUUACCUGGAAGUGAUAAGUUUCCUGGGAUGUGAAACUUUCAGUGCAAAAACUAGGACAGUUCAGGGCAAAUCAGGACAAGUUGGUCACCCUAGUCCCUU
rnacentral:miRNA from 1 species